UGCCAGCCGCCGCGGUAAAACCAGCUCUUCAAGUGGUCGGGACUUUUAUUGGGCUUAAAGUGUCCGUAGCCGGUUAGAUAAGUUCCUGGUCAAAUCUGGCAGCUUAACUGUCAGUUCGCUAGGAAUACUAUCUUACUAGAGGGUGGGAAAGGUCUGAGGUACUCCAGGGGUAGCGGUGAAAUGCGAUAAUCCUUGGGGGACCACCAGUGGCGAAGGCGUCAGACUGGAACACGCCUGACGGUGAGGGACGAAAGCCAGGGGAGCGAACGGGAUUAGAUA
rnacentral:rRNA from 1 species